CUUAGAGUUUGAUCAUGGCUCAGGACGAACGCUUGCGGCGUGCCUAAGAAAUGCAAGUCGAGCGAGGUUCAGGCUUCGGCCAAAAACCUAGCGGCGAACGGUCGCGUAACACGUAAGCAACCUGCCCUAAAGUGGGGGAUAGCCCUCCGAAAGGAGGAUUAAUACCGCAUGUGGAUGCUUUCUCGCAUGUGAGAGCAUCUGAAGCAGCAAUGCGCUUUAGGAUGGGCUUGCGGCCUAUCAGCUAGUUGGUGGGGUAACGGCCUACCAAGGCGACGACGGGUAGCUGGUCUGAGAGGAUGGUCAGCCGGACUGGGACUGAGAUACGGCCCAGACUCCUACGGGGGGCAGCAAUUAGGAAUCUUGCGCAAUGGGCGAAAGCCUGACGCAGCGACGCCGCGUGACUGAUGAAGUCUUUCGGGAUGUAAAGGUCUUUUGCACGGGACGAAGGAAGUGACGGUACCGUGCGAAUAAGCCCCGGCUAACUACGUGCCAGCAGCCGCGGUAAUACGUAGGGGGCGAGCGUUGUCCGAAUUCACUGGGCGUAAAGCGCGCGUAGGCGGGCAUUUAAGUUGUGGGUGAAAUCCCGAGGCUCAACCUCGGAGCUGCCUGCAAAACUGGAUGCCUGGAGGUAUGGAGAGGGAAGUGGAAUUCCUGGUGUAGCGGUGAAAUGCGUAGAUAUCAGGAGGAACACCCGUGGCGAAGGCGGCUUCCUGGCCAUAUCCUGACGCUGAGGUGCGAAAGCUAGGGGAGCGAACGGGAUUAGAUACCCCGGUAGUCCUAGCCGUAAACGAUGGAUACUAGGUGUUAGAGGUAUCGACCCCUCUAGUGCCGGAGCUAACGCAUUAAGUAUCCCGCCUGGGGAGUACGACCGCAAGGUUGAAACUCAAAGGAAUUG
rnacentral:rRNA from 1 species